rnacentral:rRNA from 1 species
UACGUAGAAGACUAGUGUUAUUCAUCUUUAAUAGGUUUAAAGGGUACCUAGACGGUAUAAUUAGUCUUAAACAGGAUACGAUUAUACUAGAGUUAUAUAUGAGGAGGUGAGUAUUUAUGCAGUAGAGUUGAAAUUCGUUGAUAGCAUAACGACUGGUAACGGCGAAAGCAACCUUUUAUCUAAUAACUGACGUUGAGGACGAAGGCUCGGGUAACGAACAGG